rnacentral:rRNA from 1 species
AGGUCUGUGAUGCCCUUAGAUGUCCGGGGCCGCACGUGCGCUACAAUGACGGUGCCAGCGAGUCUGGAAACCUUACCCGAAAGGGUUGGGCAAGCUGUUCCAUCACCGUCGUGACUGGGAUCGGGGCUUGCAAUUAUUCCCCGUGAACGAGGAAUUCCUGGUAAGUGCAAGUCAUAAGCUUGCGCUGAUUACGUCCCUGCCCUUUGUACACACCGCCCGUCGCUACUACCGAUUGAAUGGUCCAGUGAAAUCAUUGGAUCGGUGCCAUUGACGCAGUUUCGACUGCUCGACUGGUGCUGAGAAGAUGAUUUAAUUUGAUCAUUUAGAGGAAGUAAAAGUCGUAACAAGGUUUCCGUAGGUGAACCUGCGGAAGGAUCAUUACGAGCCCCUAUUAUAUUAUCAUUGUAUGCGUAAUGCAUGCAUAUUUAUAUAUACAAGCGCUACUGCCCUAGCGUAAUAAAUGUCCGUGAAUACGGAUUUGUUUAAAUGCACAUAUUGGUAUGUGUAUGGAAUUGACGGAAUUUGGCUAUGCCUGAGCUAUUAUGAUGAAAUGACAGAGCUCAUGGUGUGGUACAGUCUACCUGUAUCCGUAAUUAUUUAUGUGAUACUAAGUAGGCUUGUCAGACCGGGGUACCUUACCUGUCAGAUGCUCUGAUGGUAGUCUUUUGAUUUUCAAAUCAACUGUUCCUGCCAAGAGCGACGGGGAAGUGCUUAACCAAAUGGCUUUGUGCAAGGUUUAAUGAGGGAUGUGGAUUAUUAUUCACAUUUCCACCCCGGAUUUUGUUAAACCGUGGUAGUAUUAUUCUGCCAUUUUUACACUGUUUAAGCGAUCUGGAUCAGCUAGUCUGGUUUGGAAAGCUGCCCUAGCAUGCACCUGGUUGUUAAUCAACUGGACUGCAUGGACGUUCGCCUGGCGGUGCUCUAUCCUGGGCUAGAACGGUAACCCUAGUUCCUAUGCAUUCGGGUAACCGGGUGUACAGGACAUGUACAACUCUGAGCGGUGGAUCACUCGGCUCGUGUGUCGAUGAAGAGUGCAGCCAACUGUGUGAAUUAAUGUGAACUGCAUACUGCUUUGAACAUCGACCUCUUGAACGCAUAUUGCGGCCACGGGAUAUCCUGUGGCCACGCCUGGCCGAGGGUCGGCUUAUAAUCUAUCACGACGCACAAUAAGUCGUGGCUUGGAUGUGUGCCAGCUGGCGUGAUUUCCUGCUUCUAUGAAGUGGGGUGCCAGAUCUAUGGCUCCUUCCUAAUGUGUCCGGCUACACCCAUGUCUUUUGAUGAUAUUAUAUAGACAGGGUUGUGGUGAUGGAUAGUGCUCGGGUCGUGGCUCAAUGAGAAUGAUAGUAACGUUCACGCCCGAUAACAUUGUCUGUCAUUGCACCCAUUUUUGGACUGGCUCUGUAGUUGAUGAUUUAUUUAUGACCCUGACCUCGGAUCAGACGUGAUUACCCGCUGAACUUAAGCAUAUCACUAAGCGGAGGAAAAGAAACUAACCAGGAUUCCCCUAGUAACUGCGAGUGAAGAGGGAUUAGCCCAGCACCGAAGCCUGUGGUCAUUUGACUGCUAGGCAAUGUGGUGUUAAGGUGUGUUCUUGGCAUUACUGCUCCACCCUAAGUCCAGCAAUGAGUACGGCUUACUGGAUUGGCCCAUUGAGGGUGAAAGGCCCGUGUGGGUGGAGACCAAGAUAGUCAGUUUUGCCCUGAACAUACCUUGGAGUCGGGUUGUUUGUGAAUGCAGCCCAAAGUGGGUGGUAAACUCCAUCCAAGGCUAAAUACUGGCACGAGUCCGAUAGCGAACAAGUACCGUGAGGGAAAGUUGAAAAGUACUUUGAAGAGAGAGUAAACAGUUCGUGAACCCGCUCAGAGGUAAACGGGUGGAGUUGAACUGGAAGCCCUGGGGAUUCAGCUGAUGAGUAUGGCAUGAGCUUGGGCAUAUUGGUCGGCUUUCAGAGUCCGCUUAGCUGCGGGUCCAUGCCUUAAUGGGUGUGGAUGUGCGUUGCGCUCAUAAGGCGUUGUGCGCUCUGUCUGUUCCGGGCCUGCUCGUCAGUGCACUUCCUCAGGGUGUUCACCACGACCGGCGCUGCUGUCUGUCUGUCGCAGUCAAACCGGCUAGGAUUAGUCAUUUUGGCUAAGCUUGGUCGGGAUGGCAGGUGGCUCUUGGGUUUUGCUGGCUUCGGCUGGUCUUGGCCUUUGAGUGUAAUUAGCCGAUUGCGAUGGGUCUGUGCGGUGCGUCGGAGCUGGCGGCUCUGGUGUGUGUACGCGUGCUGUGCCUUGCUGGCCUGGUCGAGUCUGGUUGAUGUGUUACCUGCUUCGGUGGGUCUAUUGAUGGCUUGACCUUGCAUGGUGAGUGGUUGCGUGUGCGACACUGGCUAGGGCCAAAAGUCUGUGGUGUUGUGGUAAACGAUCCACCCGACCCGUCUUGAAACACGGACCAAGGAGUUUAACAUGUACGCGAGUCAUUGGGCGUUACGAAACCCAAAGGCGCAGUGAAAGUAAAGGUUCGGCUUGUCCGAGCUGAGGUGAGAUCCUGCUGUUUCUCUGCCUUGGACUACCAAGCAUUCGAGCAGUGGGCGCAUCACCAGCCCGUCUCAUGACGUAGGCAUGUAUGUGCAUCGUCGGGGCGGAGCUAGAGCGUACACGUUGAGACCCGAAAGAUGGUGAACUAUGCCUGCGGAGGUUGAAGCCAGAGGAAACUCUGGUGGAGGACCGCAGCGAUUCUGACGCGCAAAUCGAUCGUCUAACGUGGGU